rnacentral:lncRNA from 1 species
CAUCCAGCUGCAGGUACAGUAACCCUUCACCACCCUCCACAUCCAGCUGCAGGUACAGUAACCCUUCACCACCCUCCUCAUCCAGCUGCAGGUACAGUAACCCUUCACCACCCUCCUCAUCCAGCUGCAGGUACAGUAACCCUUCACCACCCUCCUCAUCCAGCUGCAGGUACAGUAACCCUUCAUCACCCUCCACAUCCAGCUGCAGGUACAGUAACCCUUCACCACCCUCCACAUCCAGCUGCAGGUACAGUAACCCUUCACCACCCUCCACAUCCAGCUGCAGGUACAGUAACCCUUCACCACCCUCCUCAUCCAGCUGCAGGUACAGUAACCCUUCACCACCCUCCUCAUCCAGCUGCAGAGCGGCAGGUACAGCAGGGGUGUGUGUGUGGGUGUAUAUUGGGUUGUUUGAAGACACACGUGUGUAUCAGGGGUGUAUGGAGCUGUGGAAGGGAGUGUGGUGGUGUUUGAAGUUGUAUGGGGUGUAACGUGUUAACCUAACAUUUCAAAGUGUGUGUGUGCCUGUUACAUUUGAACAGUGUGGUUCCUGGCCGUGUGUUGCAG